rnacentral:rRNA from 1 species
CUCCUACGGGGAGCGAGCAGUGGGGAAUAUUGCACAAUGGGCGCAAGCCUGAUGCAGCCAGUGCCGCGUGUAUGAAGAAGGCCUUCGGGUUGUAAAGUACUUUCAGCAGUGAGGAAGGUGGAUAUGUUAAUAGCAUAUUCUAUUUGACGUUAGCUGCAGAAGAAGCACCGGCGUAACUCCGUGCCAGCAGCCGCGGUAAUACGGAGGGUGCGAGCGUUAAUCGGAAUUACUGGGCGUAAAGCGCAUGCAGGUGGUUUGUUAAGUCAGAUGUGAAAGCCCGGGGCUCAACCUCGGAAUUGCAUUUGAAACUGGACAAACUAAGAGUACUGUAGAGGGGGUAGGAAUUUCAGGUGUAGCGGUGAAAUAGCGUAGAGAUCUGAAGGAAUACCGGUGGCGAAGGCGGCCCCCUGGACAGAUACUGACACUCAGAUGCGAAAGCGUGGGGAGCAAACAGGAUUAGAUACCCUGGUAG